GACGAACGCUGGCGGCGUGCGUAACACAUGCAAGUCGAGCGGUAAGGCUCCUUCGGGGGUACACGAGCGGCGAACGGGUGAGUAACACGUGAGUAAUCUGCCCCUGGCUCUGGGAUAAGCAUUCGAAAGGGUGUCUAAUACCGGAUAUGACAAUCCUCCGCAUGGGGUGGUUGUGGAAAGUUUUUUCGGCUGGGGAUGUGCUCGCGGCCUAUCAGCCUGUUGGUGGGGUAAUGGCCUACCAAGGCUUUGACGGGUAACCGGCCUGAGAGGGGGACCGGUCACACUGGGACUGAGAGACGGCGCAGAGUGCUAGGGGAGGCAGCAGUGGGGAAUAUUGGACAAUGGGCGGAAGCGUGGUCCAGCAACGCCGCGUGAGGGAUGACGGCCUUCGGGUUGUAAACCUCUUUCAGCGAGGACGAAGCGUGAGUGACGGGACUCGCAGAAGAAGGACCGGCCAACUACGUGCCAGCCGCCGCCGUAA
rnacentral:rRNA from 1 species